UACGGAAAGGCAGCAGUGGGGAAUAUUGCACAAUGGGCGAAAGCCUGAUGCAGCUAUGCCGCGUGUAUGAAGAAGGCCUUAGGGUUGUAAAGUACUUUCAUCGGGGAGGAAAAACAAAACUAAUAAUUUUAUUUCUUGACGUUACCCGAAAAAGAAGCACCGGCUAACUCCGUGCCAGCAGCCGCGGUAAUACGGAGGGUGCUAGCGUUAAUCAGAAUUACUGGGCGUAAAGAGCACGUAGGUGGUUUUUUUAAGUCAGAUGUGAAAUCCCUGGGCUUAACCUGGAACUGCAUUUUGAAACUGAAAUACUAGAGUAUCGUAGAGGGAGGUAGAAUUCUAGGUGUAGCGGUGAAAUGCGUAGAUAUCUGGAGGAAUACCUGUGGCGAAAGCGGCCUCCUAAACGAAUACUGACACUGAGGGUGCGAAAGCGUGGGGAGCAAACAGGGAUUAGAUACC
rnacentral:rRNA from 1 species